UCAGUAGCGGCGAGUGAAGCGGCAAAAGCUCAAAUUUGAAAUCUGGCGUCUUUGGCGUCCGAGUUGUAAUUUGAAGAAGGUAUCUUUGGGCCCGGCUCUUGUCUAUGUUCCUUGGAACAGGACGUCACAGAGGGUGAGAAUCCCGUGCGAUGAGAUGACCCGGGUCUGUGUAAAGUUCCUUCGACGAGUCGAGUUGUUUGGGAAUGCAGCUCUAAGUGGGUGGUAAAUUCCAUCUAAAGCUAAAUAUUGGCGAGAGACCGAUAGCGAACAAGUACAGUGAUGGAAAGAUGAAAAGAACUUUGAAAAGAGAGUGAAAAAGUACGUGAAAUUGUUGAAAGGGAAGGGCUUGAGAUCAGACUUGGUAUUUUGCAUGCUGCUCUCUCGGGGGCGGCCGCUGCGGUUUACCGGGCCAGCAUCGGUUUGGAGCGGCAGGAUAAUGGCGGAGGAAUGUGGCACGGCUUCUGCUGUGUGUUAUAGCCUCUGACGAUACUGCCAGCCUAGACCGAGGACUGCGGUUUUUACCUAGGAUGUUGGCAUAAUGAUCUUAAGUCGCCCGUCUUGAAACACGGACCAAGGAGUCUAACGUCUAUGCGAGUGUUUGGGUGUAAAACCCGUACGCGUAAUGAAAGUGAACGAAGGUGGGGGCCCAUUAGGGUGCACCAUCGACCGAUCCUGAUGUGUUCGGAUGGAUUUGAGUAAGAGCAUAGCUGUUGGGACCCGAAAGAUGGUGAACUAUGCCUGAAUAGGGUGAAGCCAGAGGAAACUCUGGUGGAGGCUCGUAGCGGUUCUGACGUGCAAAUCGAUCGUCGAAUUUGGGUA
rnacentral:rRNA from 1 species